CCCUCGUCACAAAGAUAUCACUACUAGAAGAAUUCUUGUUUAAUAUUCUCACUUCUUAACUAUAAAUUUAGGGAAGUAUUAUUAUCUGAAAGUAUUAAUUUAUCGAAUACUAAUCUAUAGAAGUUAUGUUAAUAUGUUAACUAAAAUAAAAUAAAAAAUUCCCAAAAAAAAUUAGAGGGGAACACUCAUUUCCUCAAAUUCGGGUCACACUUCUUCUCUUUAAAACCCGUGUGCUUACCUUAUCCAUGGAAAACCAAAUAAAUAAAUAAAUAACAUCCCAC
rnacentral:lncRNA from 1 species